rnacentral:rRNA from 1 species
CUAUUNGGGUGAGGAUAAGCCAUGCGAGUUGAAUGGGAUANNNAAAUUUCCCAUGGCAAACUGCUCAGUAACACAUGAUCAACUUACCCUAUAGAGAAAAAUAACCUCGGGAAACUGAGGAUAAUAUUUCAUAGUUGAAUAGGCUUGGAAAAGUUUUUCAAUUAAAGGGAUAAAAAAAAUGGUUUUUAUCUGCUAUAGGAUAGGAUCGUGGACGAUUAUGGUUGUUGGUGAGGUAACGGCUCACCAAGCCGAUAAUCGAUAGGGGCCGUGAGAGCGGGAGCCCCGAGAUGGGUACUGAGACAACGACCCAGGCCUUACGAGGCGCAGCAGGCGCGGAACCUCCGCAAUACACGAAAGUGUGACGGGGUUACCCAAAGUGUUCAAUUCUGAACUGUGGUAGGUGAGUAAUGUUCCCUACUAGAAAGGAGAGGGCAAGGCUGGUGCCAGCCGCCGCGGUAAAACCAGCUCUUCAAGUGGUCGGGAUAAUUAUUGGGCUUAAAGUGUCCGUAGCCGGUUUAGUAAGUUCCUGGUAAAAUCGGGUAGCUUAACUAUCUGUAUGCUAGGAAUACUGCUAUACUAGAGGGCGGGAGAGGUCUGAGGUACUACAGGGGUAGGGGUGAAAUCUUAUAAUCCUUGUAGGACCACCAGUGGCGAAGGCGUCAGACUGGAACGCGCCUGACGGUGAGGGACGAAAGCCAGGGGAGCGAACCGGAUUAGAUACCCGGGUAGUCCUGGCCGUAAACGAUGCAUACUAGGUGAUGGUACGGCCAUGAGCCGUAUCAGUGCCGUAGGGAAACCGUUAAGUGUGCCGCCUGGGAAGUACGGUCGCAAGGCUAAAACUUAA